rnacentral:rRNA from 3 species
UUAAGCGACUAAGCGUACACGGUGGAUGCCCUGGCAGUCAGAGGCGAUGAAGGACGUGCUAAUCUGCGAUAAGCGUCGGUGAGGUGAUAUGAACCGUUAUAACCGGCGAUUUCCGAAUGGGGAAACCCAGUGUGUUUCGACACACUAUCAUUAACUGAAUCCAUAGGUUAAUGAGGCGAACCGGGGGAACUGAAACAUCUAAGUACCCCGAGGAAAAGAAAUCAACCGAGAUUCCCCCAGUAGCGGCGAGCGAACGGGGAGGAGCCCAGAGCCUGAAUCAGUGUGUGUGUUAGUGGAAGCGUCUGGAAAGGCGCGCGAUACAGGGUGACAGCCCCGUACACAAAAAUGCACAUACUGUGAGCUCGAUGAGUAGGGCGGGACACGUGGUAUCCUGUCUGAAUAUGGGGGGACCAUCCUCCAAGGCUAAAUACUCCUGACUGACCGAUAGUGAACCAGUACCGUGAGGGAAAGGCGAAAAGAACCCCGGCGAGGGGAGUGAAAAAGAACCUGAAACCGUGUACGUACAAGCAGUGGGAGCCUCUUAAUGGGGUGACUGCGUACCUUUUGUAUAAUGGGUCAGCGACUUAUAUUCUGUAGCAAGGUUAACCGAAUAGGGGAGCCGAAGGGAAACCGAGUCUUAACUGGGCGUUAAGUUGCAGGGUAUAGACCCGAAACCCGGUGAUCUAGCCAUGGGCAGGUUGAAGGUUGGGUAACACUAACUGGAGGACCGAACCGACUAAUGUUGAAAAAUUAGCGGAUGACUUGUGGCUGGGGGGGAAAGGCCAAUCAAACCGGGAGAUAGCUGGUUCUCCCCGAAAGCUAUUUAGGUAGCGCCUCGUGAAUUCAUCUCCGGGGGUAGAGCACUGUUUCGGCAAGGGGGUCAUCCCGACUUACCAACCCGAUGCAAACUGCGAAUACCGGAGAAUGUUAUCACGGGAGACACACGGCGGGUGCUAACGUCCGUCGUGAAGAGGGAAACAACCCAGACCGCCAGCUAAGGUCCCAAAGUCAUGGUUAAGUGGGAAACGAUGUGGGAAGGCCCAGACAGCCAGGAUGUUGGCUUAGAAGCAGCCAUCAUUUAAAGAAAGCGUAAUAGCUCACUGGUCGAGUCGGCCUGCGCGGAAGAUGUAACGGGGCUAAACCAUGCACCGAAGCUGCGGCAGCGACGCUUAUGCGUUGUUGGGUAGGGGAGCGUUCUGUAAGCCUGUGAAGGUGGCCUGUGAGGGUUGCUGGAGGUAUCAGAAGUGCGAAUGCUGACAUAAGUAACGAUAAAGCGGGUGAAAAGCCCGCUCGCCGGAAGACCAAGGGUUCCUGUCCAACGUUAAUCGGGGCAGGGUGAGUCGACCCCUAAGGCGAGGCCGAAAGGCGUAGUCGAUGGGAAACAGGUUAAUAUUCCUGUACUUGGUGUUACUGCGAAGGGGGGACGGAGAAGGCUAUGUUGGCCGGGCGACGGUUGUCCCGGUUUAAGCGUGUAGGCUGGUUUUCCAGGCAAAUCCGGAAAAUCAAGGCUGAGGCGUGAUGACGAGGCACUACGGUGCUGAAGCGACAAAUGCCCUGCUUCCAGGAAAAGCCUCUAAGCAUCAGGUAACAUUAAAUCGUACCCCAAACCGACACAGGUGGUCAGGUAGAGAAUACCAAGGCGCUUGAGAGAACUCGGGUGAAGGAACUAGGCAAAAUGGUGCCGUAACUUCGGGAGAAGGCACGCUGAUAUGUAGGUGAAGCGACUUGCUCGUGGAGCUGAAAUCAGUCGAAGAUACCAGCUGGCUGCAACUGUUUAUUAAAAACACAGCACUGUGCAAACACGAAAGUGGACGUAUACGGUGUGACGCCUGCCCGGUGCCGGAAGGUUAAUUGAUGGGGUUAGCGGUAACGCGAAGCUCUUGAUCGAAGCCCCGGUAAACGGCGGCCGUAACUAUAACGGUCCUAAGGUAGCGAAAUUCCUUGUCGGGUAAGUUCCGACCUGCACGAAUGGCGUAAUGAUGGCCAGGCUGUCUCCACCCGAGACUCAGUGAAAUUGAACUCGCUGUGAAGAUGCAGUGUACCCGCGGCAAGACGGAAAGACCCCGUGAACCUUUACUAUAGCUUGACACUGAACAUUGAGCCUUGAUGUGUAGGAUAGGUGGGAGGCUUUGAAGUGUGGACGCCAGUCUGCAUGGAGCCGACCUUGAAAUACCACCCUUUAAUGUUUGAUGUUCUAACGUGGGCCCCUUACCGGGGUUGCGGACAGUGUCUGGUGGGUAGUUUGACUGGGGCGGUCUCCUCCUAAAGAGUAACGGAGGAGCACGAAGGUUGGCUAAUCCUGGUCGGACAUCAGGAGGUUAGUGCAAUGGCAUAAGCCAGCUUGACUGCGAGCGUGACGGCGCGAGCAGGUGCGAAAGCAGGUCAUAGUGAUCCGGUGGUUCUGAAUGGAAGGGCCAUCGCUCAACGGAUAAAAGGUACUCCGGGGAUAACAGGCUGAUACCGCCCAAGAGUUCAUAUCGACGGCGGUGUUUGGCACCUCGAUGUCGGCUCAUCACAUCCUGGGGCUGAAGUAGGUCCCAAGGGUAUGGCUGUUCGCCAUUUAAAGUGGUACGCGAGCUGGGUUUAGAACGUCGUGAGACAGUUCGGUCCCUAUCUGCCGUGGGCGCUGGAGAACUGAGGGGGGCUGCUCCUAGUACGAGAGGACCGGAGUGGACGCAUCACUGGUGUUCGGGUUGUCAUGCCAAUGGCACUGCCCGGUAGCUAAAUGCGGAAGAGAUAAGUGCUGAAAGCAUCUAAGCACGAAACUUGCCCCGAGAUGAGUUCUCCCUGACUCCUUGAGAGUCCUGAAGGAACGUUGAAGACGACGACGUUGAUAGGCCGGGUGUGUAAGCGCAGCGAUGCGUUGAGCUAACCGGUACUAAUGAACCGUGAGGCUUAACCUU